UGGGAAUUUUGGACAAUGGGCGAAAGCCUGAUCCAGCAAUGCCGCGUGUGUGAAGAAGGCCUUCGGGUUGUAAAGCACUUUUGUCCGGAAAGAAAUCCUUGGCUCUAAUACAGUCGGGGGAUGACGGUACCGGAAGAAUAAGCACCGGCUAACUACGUGCCAGCAGCCGCGGUAAUACGUAGGGUGCAAGCGUUAAUCGGAAUUACUGGGCGUAAAGCGUGCGCAGGCGGUUUGCUAAGACCGAUGUGAAAUCCCCGGGCUCAACCUGGGAACUGCAUUGGUGACUGGCAGGCUAGAGUAUGGCAGAGGGGGGUAGAAUUCCACGUGUAGCAGUGAAAUGCGUAGAGAUGUGGAGGAAUACCGAUGGCGAAGGCAGCCCCCUGGGCCAAUACUGACGCUCAUGCACGAAAGCGUGGGGAGCAAACAGGAUUAGAUACCCUGGUAGUCCACGCCCUAAAACGAUGUCAACUAGUUGUUGGGGAUUCAUUUCCUUAGUAACGUAGCUAACGCGUGAAGUUGACCGCCUGGGGAGUACGGUCGCAAGAUUAAAACUCAAAUGAAUUGACGGGGUCAUAGCUGUUUCCU
rnacentral:rRNA from 1 species